CCGAAUGGGGAAACCCAGUGUGAUUCGUCACACUAUCAUUAACUGAAUCCAUAGGUUAAUGAGGCGAACCGGGGGAACUGAAACAUCUAAGUACCCCGAGGAAAAGAAAUCAACCGAGAUUCCCCCAGUAGCGGCGAGCGAACGGGGAGGAGCCCAGAGCCUGAAUCAGCAUGUGUGUUAGUGGAAGCGUCUGGAAAGGCGCGCGAUACAGGGUGACAGCCCCGUACACAAAAGCGCAUGUGCUGUGAGCUCGAUGAGUAGGGCGGGACACGUGGUAUCCUGUCUGAAUAUGGGGGGACCAUCCUCCAAGGCUAAAUACUCCUGACUGACCGAUAGUGAACCAGUACCGUGAGGGAAAGGCGAAAAGAACCCCGGCGAGGGGAGUGAAAAAGAACCUGAAACCGUGUACGUACAAGCAGUGGGAGCACAGGUUUACCUGUGUGACUGCGUACCUUUUGUAUAAUGGGUCAGCGACUUAUAUUCUGUAGCAAGGUUAACCGAAUAGGGGAGCCGGAGGGAAACCGAGUCUUAAUUGGGCGUUAAGUUGCAGGGUAUAGACCCGAAACCCGGUGAUCUAGCCAUGGGCAGGUUGAAGGUUGGGUAACACUAACUGGAGGACCGAACCGACUAAUGUUGAAAAAUUAGCGGAUGACCUGUGGCUGGGGGUGAAAGGCCAAUCAAACCGGGAGAUAGCUGGUUCUCCCCGAAAGCUAUUUAGGUAGCGCCUCGUGAAUUCAUCUCCGGGGGUAGAGCACUGUUUCGGCUAGGGGGCCAUCCCGGCUUACCAACCCGAUGCAAACUGCGAAUACCGGAGAAUGUUAUCACGGGAGACACACGGCGGGUGCUAACGUCCGUCGUGAAGAGGGAAACAACCCAGACCGCCAGCUAAGGUCCCAAAGUCAUGGUUAAGUGGGAAACGAUGUGGGAAGGCCCAGACAGCCAGGAUGUUGGCUUAGAAGCAGCCAUCAUUUAAAGAAAGCGUAAUAGCUCACUGGUCGAGUCGGCCUGCGCGGAAGAUGUAACGGGGCUAAACCAUGCACCGAAGCUGCGGCAGCGA
rnacentral:rRNA from 1 species